rnacentral:rRNA from 1 species
CAAUAGCGUAUAUUAAAGUUGUUGCGGUUAAAAAGCUCGUAGUUGGAGUUCUGCCAGGUGCCGUCUGUCCGCCCCAGUGGUGAGUACGUGACGCGCAUUUGGCCCUUUCAAGGGGAGCGUAUCUGCACUUUACUGUGUGGUGCGGGAUCCUUGACUUUUACUUUGAGGAAAUAGGAGUGUUCCAAGCAGGCUCUCGUCGUGCACAGCUCAGCAUGGAAUAAUAGCAUUGGACCUCGAUUCUAAGCUGUUGGUUGCCAGAAGCGAGGUAAUGAUGAAGAGGGAUAGUUGGGGGCAUUCGUAUUUAACUGUCAGAGGUGAAAUUCUUGGAUUUGUUAAAGACAGACUACUGCGAAAGCAUCUGCCAUGGAUGUUUUCAUUGA